rnacentral:rRNA from 1 species
UUUCGCCUACGGGGGGCAGCAGUGAGGAAUAUUGGUCAAUGGGCGGGAGCCUGAACCAGCCAAGUCGCGUGAGGGAAGACGGUCCUACGGAUUGUAAACCUCUUUUGCCGGGGAGCAACGGGGUCCUUGCGAGGGCCCGAUGAGAGUACCCGGAGAAAAAGCAUCGGCUAACUCCGUGCCAGCAGCCGCGGUAAUACGGAGGAUGCGAGCGUUAUCCGGAUUUAUUGGGUUUAAAGGGUGCGUAGGCGGUCCGUUAAGUCAGCGGUAAAAUUGCGGGGCUCAACCCCGUCGAGCCGUUGAAACUG